rnacentral:piRNA from 1 species
UUUUCGACGUUUUUCGACUUU